UGUACCUGGAGUGGUGCACAGCUGCCCACGCUUCAGUUAAUUUGCAGUGGGAUUUUCUGUUUCUCGUCUGAUUUAGGGCCUUUGUUAUUGUGUUUUUUGGACUUUUCUUCCCAUUUGCAGUGGUGCCUUUUUGUUGAUUAAAUGAUUCUCCUCACUCCAAGUGCCUCUUCGUUCCUGCAUUUGGAUACCCCCGUAACAAAGGGAAGUUGGAAAAUGACUGCCAAGCUGAAGGUUCUGAUGCCGUACUGUAUUACAGGUGGAUAGGCUCAUGGGUCAGCCGAGUGGUUCACCAGUGUUGGGAACGAGCUCUCCCAAAUUGUGACCUUCUUGCUGACCUGCGAAGAAUCCACAGAAAAACUGCAGCCCAUGUGUCAAGGACUGAUGGAGAGGUUUCAGCUGGCAAAUCAUCCGGCUCCAAAGAUCCUGUACGUUGAUCAGGGGUGUUGUUGUGCAGAAGGCCCAACAGCAGUGGAGACUUUGUUCCAGCCUUGAGAGUGGGAUGGUGCUUUGUCUAGACAUUUUUCACUUUUUACUGGAUCCACCAGUUUGAUGCAGCAUCUGAACUGACAGCCACUGUGCUGCAUUCAAGUCUGCACUGGCUGGGGCUGUUCUGGCCUACAACAAAAGCCACCUGGAUCUGCUCAUAAAGGCUGUCAAGGGCUAAGGGGGAAGCCUUGAAGACUUUAUCAGAUGACUGCAUUAUUCAGCAGCACAUUUCCAGGAAGCAGGUGAAGCACCACGUGUGGAGGGGAACUCUAGCACCACAGGAAACCUUCCAGUUCAUCCAGAUGGUGAUAGGAGCUGAAAGGUCCAGCUGGACUGGAUGAAAGUGGAGUGAGCCUCCUCAAAACACCAAAGGACAUCGAUGAGGUGUGGGCAUGCCAGCAGUGGCAUCUGGGCUCCAUUCAGGAUCCACCGGACUUGUGCAUGUACAGGGUGUUACCACCAUCAACGGUGUGGAUGUUCCUUUCUACAAAGGACUUUGUGGAAGCAACAGCCUGGACGGUUUCCACAAAGUGCAGCUAACAUGAUUCCAGGUAGAACACUGACGUGCAUAGAAGCAGCACAUGAAAUGUUUUGAAAAAUGAGGUUCCUGAAAAAUGUCACCACACAGGGCCACACUGUGCUGCACGUCCGUAUCAGGUGUACCUCAGAAGCGGCAUUGCUCGGUGGGAUUCUGACAGGAGCGCAGAUGUCGUGUUUGGAGGCAGAGACACAGGACGUACUCUGCUCUACUGCUGCAUGUUGGUCUUUUUAUUCUCAGAUUUGUUUUUGUUUUUUAAAACAGGAGGUCUGCAGUCCGAAUCCUCUUCCUGGUUUCCAGAAGUUGGAGGGAUUCUGCUCUCUGCUCGUGGGGAUUGGCAUGACUGAGAACAAGCUGUCCCUCCUCACAGAGCAAAGAAGUGGGGUUGGGGAAGCCUGGAAUGCCGUGGAGGAACAUGACAAGCAGCCGCAGACGUUUCAACAGCUGUACAGGAUGCACUGAGGCAACACCCUGUACUGCCGAACCAAGAGGGACGAUCUUGUUGACGCUGCUGUUAUCCAGAAAGUCAAAAUGGCUGAACGAUAUGCACCAGCUCAGCAAGACAUCACUGCCCAAAAAAACAGGCUGAUGUACACACUGGUGAAACUGUUGUGGCUGCGGACACCUCACGGCUCUCAAAGCAGCAUCCUAAAAGCGUAUGAACGCUUUCUUCCAGCAUCGUCUUCUGGUGAAGUACCCAAUCCUGUCCAAAGCGGGAUCUCUCCACCGUAGAUGAACAGCAACACGGUGAGAGACUUAAUACGUUUUCAGGAGAGGCUGCUGAACCUCAACGCCACCAAGCAGCCAUCCACCAUCACCUCCUCUGAGCUACCUCCAGCACCACAUCAGCCAGCUGUGCUGCCCCUCCAAGAUUACGUAUGCGCCCACCCAAAGCACCGCUGGAACAAAAAAGAUAAGAAAACAAAAAAAAAAAACAGAAAUCCCUCUGCCAUCUUCCACCUCCUUCCCAAAACCACCUGCACUAAUCCAGCACCAGAGAAAGGCUAAAAAAAAAUAAAAAUAAAAAAUAAACCUCCAACACCCCACAGCUGCUGCCUCAUCCUCCCUGAGCAUCUCCGUCAUUCAAAUAUACCUACUCCUGACAUUCCCCCCUCCAGCAUCAGCACCUCCUCCUGGGCAAAAGCCACUAUAAAAAAAAAAAGGAAGCUCAAAGAAAAAAAAUCAAGGGUAGAAAAUAUCCCAUUUUGCAUUCUCUGUUGCCAAAAAGAAAAAGUGUUUUUGCACAGUGAGUCGACAUCAAAAGGACUUGAAGACAGAGUUUAGGAAAGCUUUGAACAUUUUACCUCUGUGGACGACAUGUGUUUUUCAGGUGACACAAGUACUUUCUGAAACAAUAAAACUAUUUGUUUUUACACAA